CUCUCUGUAGCUCAGUUGUUUAGAGCUCGCUGCACUAGAAUCGCAUGCCCGCAGGUUUGACUCCUGCCAGAGGGC